rnacentral:tRNA from 1 species
UCGGGGAUCAUCUAAUGGUAGGAUCGCAGAUUCUGAAUCUGCUUGUCUAGGUUCGAAUCCUAGUCCCCGAA